ACAAUUCUUGCUUGAAACCUUGGACAGCAUCUGCCAGUUUGUGUUGACAGUACUGGACUAGAUGUACUGAUCAUCUGAUUCGUUAAUAAUUCAACUUCUGAUGUAAACCAUCCGCAGCCUUUUCUUUCUCCCUUAGGGGAGACCUACAGUGGGCACCCAUGAACUGCUGAAGGUGUUGUGCACAGAAGACUCGCCCUUCAGAUGGAGCCAGUCAGGCAGCUGCUGAGGAGUGCGGUUGGGGCACUUCGUCAAUCGGUGCCCAGGCGUGCAGCCCGGCGCAUAGCAUGAGACCUCCCUCACCGUGCCUUUUCAAGAGAUUCUCCAGCUUAAAAGGCCACACGGAGCUCCUAAAUUGCUACAGGAAUUGCUGGUGCCAGCAACAGCAGUUCGCAAUAUAUUCAAGGCACAACCCAGGUGUAACCAGUUUAUUGCUGGGAGAGUGACUACAUCCAUGUAUCUUCUACCUGGCACAGGCUUCUCUAAAACAAGCAAUAAGGAGAUGCUGGGUGAAGGCAUAUUAGUUUACUACCCUGCCCUCCAGUUAGGGAGCCUGUGAACUUCCAUUUGGCUUUCAACAGGGCUGUUAUUUUCCCCAGCAUGAGGAUGCCGUGAAUGCUAAAAACCUACCUAUCCAAUGUUUGUUUAUCAUGUUUCUAUUAAAGAGAGGAAAAGGUUAUGCUCAUAAACAGAAGAUUGUCUGCAAAGGUGCCUAUGUGCUAAUGAGGUCAGUAAUCAAUAGGCUUUCAUGGCAAUUGCUUAUGCCUUUUAACACUAUUGAAAGACUUUGUCUGUGGAAUUUCCAGGUUUGGGACAUCUGUUAAAAACACAAGAGCUCCACCAGAAAAAAAAAUGUUGACAACCAUCCCUGACUGCCAGGUGCAACCAAGUCUUUUCUUUCCUGCAACAGAGUCUCCCCUUCCAUUCUCCCCAGACACAUGUUAAUAUGAAGAAUAUUCUAGUAUGGAAAAUAUGAUUAUUGUAGACUGGGAAACUAUUGCAGAAGACAUUGUAGGGAAGACCUAGACUGUGACAGCAACUUGACUUAUCACUUGCUUAUGUAAGAUGCACUGAAAAAUUCUGCUUUCCUAAUUUGUCUGUAACAGUGGUAGAUGGGAGAGUCUGGAGGUAUGUUUCCUUUACCAGAAAAAUCAAGGAUUUAAAGAAAUGUGACCAAUUUCAUUGACAAUGCUGGUGAAACUACACAAUUAGAGAACAUUUAUUAGAGAACAUUUAUUUAGAAUCUACACAAUUAGAACACUUAACAAAUAUAUACCCCACCUUUCCUAGCAGUUUGAAGGCACUAACAAAAAAUACAUAUAUGCAAAAGGUGGGUUAAACUUAACAAUGAUAUUAAUGUUAGACUAUUUAAAGUAUUCUGCCAGGCUGUUCUACUUUCCCCUGUUCAAAGAUCUAUACUAGAAUAAAUUCAAAAAGUUUCCUGAUGCAUUUCUCCAUUACACAUUAGCUUGUACUUUACCAACUAUACAAUGUUGCCUAAUCCAUAAACCAGUUAAACCGGAGUACUUUUAUUGGAGCCCAACCAACUUCCAAGAGAAUGAAGUCAGACAAUGCAAAUAUGUGACAUAUAAAAGACAUUGUGCCAUUUUAUCACUCCCAGUGUCAUGUUAGAAACUCUACAGAGUAUGGAAGAGUUGCUCCUUGAUUUGCCUACAUUCAUAAUGCAUUUGACUGCUUGAUCAGUCAGUAUAUAGUCUGCAUCAGGGGUUUUGUACUUCUUCCAGUUUAAGGGCCAAAUUCAAAUUUGGAGAAGUUCCUGAGGUUGAGAUUGCAUCCCAGUGGUGGAUGGGGCCAAAGAGAUAGAGCUAAAAUACUAAAAAAAAUCAGCCUUUUUUAGUUUCAAGCUGUUAUUGUCAGCAGCUAGGCCUUAGGAGAGCCAUUUCAGUCUUUUAAAAUGGGGAAAAGCUGUGUAAAAGCCAAGUGAUAGCUGUCAUAUGAAAGGAGUGUUGCCAUUGGCAUAAUCUUGGAGGGUCAGAUUUGGCCUGGGAACCCAACGUUCAGCAACCUCUGGUCUACAUCAAUACCAUAGCUUGUUGUCUGCAUGAUUCUGGCUUGUUUGGGAAGAGGCAAGUCAGAGCUCCAAGUUUGGACAAAGCAUCCAUGAUUCAUUUAGCCACUCCUCCUUAGAAACUAUCAAGUUGGAGUGAUCAGACUCUGU